ensembl:miRNA microRNA 1224
GUGAGGACUCGGGAGGUGGAGGGUGGCACUGCCAGGGCCAGGGCGCUGUCUCAGCUCGAUUCUCCCCCCACCUCCUCUCUCCUCAG